rnacentral:rRNA from 1 species
GUGGGGAAUUUUGGACAAUGGGCGCAAGCCUGAUCCAGCAAUGCCGCGUGAGUGAAGAAGGCCUUCGGGUUGUAAAGCUCUUUUGUCAGGGAAGAAACGGUGAGAGCUAAUAUCUUUUGCUAAUGACGGUACCUGAAGAAUAAGCACCGGCUAACUACGUGCCAGCAGCCGCGGUAAUACGUAGGGUGCAAGCGUUAAUCGGAAUUACUGGGCGUAAAGCGUGCGCAGGCGGUUUUGUAAGUCUGAUGUGAAAGCCCCGGGCUCAACCUGGGAAUUGCAUUGGAGACUGCAAGGCUAGAAUCUGGCAGAGGGGGGUAGAAUUCCACGUGUAGCAGUGAAAUGCGUAGAUAUGUGGAGGAACACCGAUGGCGAAGGCAGCCCCCUGGGUCAAGAUUGACGCUCAUGCACGAAAGCGUGGGGAGCAAACAGGAUUAGAUACCCUGGUAGUCCACGCCCUAAACGAUGUCUACUAGUUGUCGGGUUUUAAUUAACUUGGUAACGCAGCUAACGCGUGAAGUAGACC